rnacentral:rRNA from 1 species
CGUCCGUCCGCUAAUACCGGAAGGAUGCAUGCGUACUCGGAAAUUACCUUGGCGUAAAUGCGCACGCAGACCGAUCCUGGUCAAGGUCGGAAUGUGAAAAUCCCCGGGCUUCAACCUGGGAAGCUGCAUUUCGAAACUGGCAGGCUAGAGUCUUGUAGAGGGGGGGUAGAAUUUCCAGGUGUAGCGGUGAAAUGCGUAGAGAUCUGGAGGAAUACCGGUGGGCGAAGGCGGCCCCCUGGACAAAGACUGACGCUCAGGUGCGAAAGCGUGGGGAGCAAACAGGAUUAGAUACCCUGGUAGUCCACGCCGUAAACGAUGUCGAUUUGGAGGUUGUGCCCUUGAGGCGUGGCUUCCGGAGCUAACGCGUUAAAUCGACCGCCUGGGGAGUACGGCCGCAAGGUUAAAACUCAAAUGAAUUGACGGGGGCCCGCACAAGCGGUGGAGCAUGUGGUUUAAUUCGAUGCAACGCGAAGAACCUUACCUGGUCUUGACAUCCACAGAACUUUCCAGAGAUGGAUUGGUGCCUUCGGGAACUGUGAGACAGGUGCUGCAUGGCUGUCGUCAGCUCGUGUUGUGAAAUGUUGGGUUAAGUCCCGCAACGAGCGCAACCCUUAUCCUUUGUUGCCAGCGGUUCGGCCGGGAACUCAAAGGAGACUGCCAGUGAUAAACUGGAGGAAGGUGGGGAUGACGUCAAGUCAUCAUGGCCCUUACGACCAGGGCUACACACGUGCUACAAUGGCAUAUACAAAGAGAAGCGACCUCGCGAGAGCAAGCGGACCUCAUAAAGUAUGUCGUAGUCCGGAUUGGAGUCUGCAACUCGACUCCAUGAAGUCGGAAUCGCUAGUAAUCGUAGAUCAGAAUGCUACGGUGAAUACGUUCCCGGGCCUUGUACACACCGCCCGUCACACCAUGGGAGUGGGUUGCAAAAGAAGUAGGUAGCUUAACCUUCGGGAGGGCGCUACCACUUUGAUGAUGU